UGUACCAGGUUGAAAUACGUGGCAGAAUCCACCCGAUAGGUUCAGGUAGGUUGUCUAUAUUAGGUUGAAAUACGUGACCGAAUCCACCCGAUAGUUUCAAGUAUGAACUCAGUACUGUGUUGAAAUACGUGGCCGAAUCCACCCCAUUGAUUCAGGAACGGCAACAGUACAAGGUUAAGGUAGGUCGUCUGUACCAGGUUGAAAUACGUGGCAGAAUUCACCCGAUAGGUUCAGGUAGGGCGUUGAGUUGAAAUGUUUCUGUACCUGGUAUUGUCAGUAUUUUACAGUGAUUCAUAAACAUGGUUAUUAUAUAGUUUGAAUCGUACGAAGUCAGUUUAUAUUUUGAGUUUAUGUCAUUCUUAUUACCAAUUAGCGUUUUCUAUGCUGACAUGACCCAAAACCAAUAUCUGAGUAGUUGUGUUUGUUGGUAUUCAUGGUGCAUAAGGGGGCGGUAGGGUAGCCUAGUAGUUAAAGUAUUCGCUUGUCAUGCAAAAGACCCGGGUUCGAUUCC